CAGCACCUGGAAUGUUCGACAAUCUUACCAAUUUUGAACCUGCAAAUAUAUGACAGGGAGACCUUAUUCCCGCUCGGAUGUCAGGCCGCCGCGAGCGGAAGGCAGAUGUUCGGGUGCGGUCACCCACCUGGCUAUGCCAGGCGUCAAUAAGUAAGACCGGCAUUUUGGGGCUGC
rnacentral:other from 2 species